rnacentral:rRNA from 1 species
CAGUAGCCGCGGUAAUACAGAGGGUGCGAGCGUUAAUCGGAUUUACUGGGCGUAAAGCGUGCGUAGGCGGCUUCUUAAGUCGGAUGUGAAAUCCCUGAGCUUAACUUAGGAAUUGCAUUCGAUACUGGGAAGCUAGAGUAUGGGAGAGGAUGGUAGAAUUCCAGGUGUAGCGGUGAAAUGCGUAGAGAUCUGGAGGAAUACCGAUGGCGAAGGCAGCCAUCUGGCCUAAUACUGACGCUGAGGUACGAAAGCGUGGGGAGCAAACAGGAUUAGAUACCCCAGUAGUCCCUGUCUCUUAUAC